rnacentral:tRNA from 1 species
GGCAGGGUGGCCCUGUGGAGAGCAUGUGGGUUUCAGACUCACAGAGACUUAGGUUUGAAUCCUGGCUCUGCCA